GAUGAACGCUGGCGGCAUGCCUAAUACAUGCAAGUCGAACGAGAGGAAGGAAAGCUUGCUUUCCUGAAUCUAGUGGCGAACGGGUGAGUAACACGUAGGCAACCUGCCCAUGUGCCCGGGAUAACUUCUGGAAACGGAUGCUAAAACCGGAUAGGUAGCAGACAAGCAUUUGACUGCUAUUAAAGUGGCCUUGGCCAUGAACAUGGAUGGACCUGCGGUGCAUUAGCUAGUUGGUGAGGUAACGGCCCACCAAGGCGACGAUGCAUAGCCGGCAUGAGGGGGCGGACGGCCACAUGGGGACUGAGACACGGCCCAAACUCCUACGGGAGGCAGCAGUAGGGAAUUUUCGUCAAUGGGGGGAACCCUGAACGAGCAAUGCCGCGGGAGUGAGGAAGGUCUUCGGAUCGUAAAGCUCUGUUGUAAGAGAAAAACGGCACUCAUAAGGAAUGAUGAGUGAGUGAUGGUAUCUUACCAGAAAGUCACGGCUAACUACGUGCCAGCCGCCGCGGUAACAC
rnacentral:rRNA from 1 species